GACGGAGGGUGCAAACGUUGUUCGGAAUCACUGGGCGUAAAGGGUCCGUAGGCGGCUCAGCAAGUCAGGUGUGAAAUCUCCAGGCUCAACCUGGAGGGGCCACCUGAUACUGCUGUGGCUUGAGUCCAGUAGGGGAGCAUGGAAUUCCCGGUGUAGCGGUGAAAUGCGCAGAUAUCGGGAGGAACACCAGUGGCGAAGGCGGUGCUCUGGGCUGGAACUGACGCUGAUGGACGAAAGCGUGGGUAGCAAACAGG
rnacentral:rRNA from 1 species